UUGAACGCUGGCGGAAUGCUUUACACAUGCAAGUCGAGCGGCAGCGCGGGGGCAACCCUGGCGGCGAGCGGCGAACGGGUGAGUAAUACAUCGGAACGUACCCAGUUGUGGGGGAUAGCCCGGCGAAAGCCGGAUUAAUACCGCAUAAGUCCUGAGGGAGAAAGCGGGGGAUCGCAAGACCUCGCGCGACAGGAGCGGCCGAUAUCGGAUUAGCUAGUUGGUGAGGUAAAGGCUCACCAAGGCGACGAUCCGUAGCUGGUCUGAGAGGACGACCAGCCACACUGGAACUGAGACACGGUCCAGACUCCUACGGGAGGCAGCAGUGGGGAAUUUUGGACAAUGGGGGCAACCCUGAUCCAGCCAUUCCGCGUGAGUGAAGAAGGCCUUCGGGUUGUAAAGCUCUUUCAGCCGGAAAGAAAUCGCGCAGGCUAAUACUCUGCGUGGAUGACGGUACCGGAAGAAGAAGCACCGGCUAACUACGU
rnacentral:rRNA from 1 species